CUCCCCUUUCCUAUAGUGACUCUGUAACACUAGAAAAUUUUCAUUUUCUCUAUUUUCAGAUCCUGUUUUUCCGACCAUGCCGAUCCACCAAAUUGCUGUUGGAAGCCAUGAGGAACUCCGCCAAUCAGGGACGCUCAAGGCGGCCUUGGCGGAGUUCAUCUGUACCCUGAUCUUCGUUUUCGCAGGUCAGGGUUCUGGCAUGGCUUUCAACAAGCUAUCAGCUGACGGUACCGCUACUCCCGCCGGCCUCAUCUCUGCCUCUAUAGCGCAUGCCUUCGGGCUGUUUGUGGCCGUCUCCGUCGGUGCUAACAUCUCCGGCGGCCAUGUUAAUCCCGCCGUUACCUUCGGUGCUUUCGUUGGUGGAAACAUCACUUUGUUCCGUGGCAUUCUCUACAUUGUCGCACAGUUGCUUGGAUCCACUGUUGCUUGCUUCCUCCUUGAAUUUGCCACUGGUGGCAUGGUAAGCAUGUGCACAUACUUAAUUUGUAGACUAAUUAGCUGCAUAAUUAGCCUGUAUAUUUUUAUUAUGCUAUAGCCUUUAUGACUUGAUGUUAACUGUUCUUAACUUCCCUAUCCUAGCGCUUUUGUAGGCAUCUUAAUCUUUGACUUUUUUACAUUUAGCUUUUUUCCUAUAAAAAAAGGAGAAAUGGAGAAAGAAAAAGAAAUAAUAUAAGUGAACUCUUAGUCUUAUACCUAACUUUUUUUUUUAGCUAUAAAGGCAGAGUAUAGUCAUUUACCUUUUGAAGGUUGAUCUGAGAUGCAUAAAUAAUUAUUAUUCAAUUUCUUCUCUUGAGUGGAUAAUGAAUGUAUGGUUGCCGUAUGAGAGAGAAAUCACGAGCUUUUGCAACUCUCCUGAAAGUGACGUACAGUUUUUCCCUUCUGAUAAGCAGUAAAGGGAAAAUAGUACAGACUUUUUUGUUUUCAGCCAUGUGGGGAAAUGUUAUGCCCUUUUUGAAAAUUAUCCUGAAUUACUAUAUGGAGUACUUCUUUUUUACCAUGAAAUAUAUGAGGAUAUGGAAAUUUUGCCUACUUUCUAAACCAAAAACUGCAAAAUAUAUACUAGCUAGGUAUGUGGUCUGCUGACUCUAUACUAGACAGUUCUAGGAGAUUUUUUUCUUCUUUUUGAUUGCUAGGAAAUUUCUAUUACCACAAGGUUCAUUAGCAAUUAAAUAUCAAAGCAAAUGUCAAUCCUAGUUAAUUUGACUCAUGAAAUCAAAGACGGCGAGUGAAAGUAGAUAUGCUCUAAGGUCAUUUUCGUUUAGUACAUUAAACAAUUCUUAUACCUUAAAAAUUAUCGUUUAUUAUUAUAGAUAAAAGUUGAACUAUUGGCUGGUAUUGUUUGCUGUGUGACAUCUCUGAUUAGAGUGUAAAAAAAAUGCUUAUUUAGGACAAUUAUAGUGCCAUCAAGGGUUUUCACAUAUUUUAUAGAGCAUAAAUUUGGAACUCACGGAUUAGCUAGAAAUCUUUUUAUAUCUCGUUUGAAAGCGACUUAGUUUGUCCUCUCAUUAUGUAAGAUAGUGAUAUGAUGGUAACUAUAUCUAAAGCUAUAUAAUACACGUUUAUUCAACAUUUAUGAGGGCCAAUUUAGUACCUAACAAUAUUCAUUCGUUAGGUGGCAUUAUCACUUUCCUCUGCUUAUAGUGAAAGAAAGAAUAUUCCAAUCAUAUUCCUUUAUAUACACGGUCAGAGUAAAAAAAUAAACUUACAUUCAUAUUAUAACAAAUUCUUUUCUCAUAAUAUCAGAUCAUGUUUAUAGACUAUUACUUGUUCUUAUGGGUAACUUAAUCUGAUGUGUAAAUAUUUGUAGAUUAUGAGGGUACAAAUUUUUAAUUUUCAUACUAAGAGUGAUAUUAACAAUUUUCAUGGUUAAAAAAAAUAAUGCAGAGCACAGGAGCAUUUGCUUUGUCAGCUGGUGUAUCAGUAUGGAAUGCAUUUGUCUUUGAAAUAGUGAUGACUUUUGGACUUGUUUACACUGUGUAUGCCACUGCUGUUGACCCAAAGAAGGGAGACUUGGGUGUAAUUGCACCAAUUGCCAUUGGUUUUAUUGUUGGUGCCAACAUUUUAGCUGGUGGGGCCUUUACUGGAGCUUCAAUGAACCCUGCUGUCUCAUUUGGGCCAGCUUUGGUUAGCUGGACCUGGACCCACCAAUGGGUCUACUGGGCUGGACCCCUUGUUGGUGGUGGGAUUGCUGGUGUUGUCUAUGAACUCAUCUUCAUCAACCACUCCCAUGAGCCACUCCCCAGUGGAGAUUUUUAAGAUAUUCAUGAAAUUUCAACCUCUAUCUGUUGC
rnacentral:lncRNA from 1 species